UACGUAGGGCGCAAGCGUUAUCCGGAAUUAUUGGGCGUAAAGAGCUCGUAGGCGGCUUGUCACGUCGGAUGUGAAAGCCCGGGGCUUAACCCCGGGUCUGCAUUCGAUACGGGCAGGCUAGAGUUCGGUAGGGGAGAUCGGAAUUCCUGGUGUAGCGGUGAAAUGCGCAGAUAUCAGGAGGAACACCGGUGGCGAAGGCGGCGACCUGGGUAGAUACUGACGCUGAGGUGCGAAAGCGUGGGGAGCAAACAGG
rnacentral:rRNA from 1 species